rnacentral:rRNA from 1 species
UACGGAGGGUGCAAGCGUUAUCCGGAUUCACUGGGUUUAAAGGGAGCGUAGGUGGGCAGGUAAGUCAGUGGUGAAAUCUCUGGGCUUAACCCGGAAACUGCCAUUGAUACUAUUUGUCUUGAAUUAUCUGGAGGUAAGCGGAAUAUGUCAUGUAGCGGUGAAAUGCUUAGAUAUGACAUAGAACACCCAUUGCGAAGGCAGCUUACUACGGAUAUGUUGACACUGAGGCUCGAAAGCGUGGGGAUCAAACAGG